rnacentral:lncRNA from 1 species
CCGUUUUAAAGUGCACAGUAGGGAUUUUAGUGUAUUCACAAAGUUGUGCAUCUUCUAAUGCUAGAAUAUUUUCAUCAUUCACUCAAAACCCCAGUGUGUAAUAACAUUCACCCUCCCAAGAUCUCAGCCCCAGGACCAGAAAUCCACUAAUAUACUCUCUGUAACUAUGAAUUCAUCUGCUCUGGGCAUUUUUUAGAAAUUAAAUAAAAUAAUCUAUGGUGUUUUGGGGCCUGCUGUCUCUCACUGAGCAUGUUUUCAGGCUCUUUGUGAUAUUUCUCAGUGCCCCUUUAGUCUUUAUGGUUGAAGAAUCUCCCACUGUAUGUAGAAAACAUUUUAAUACAUUCACUAACUGAUGGACAUUUUGGUUAUUUCCACUACUUGGAAUAAAUUACAAACCAAUGAAUCACACUGCUGUGACUGGGAACUACUUUUUAGUUCACAUCUAAUGAAAAAUUACUGUUGCAAUUUACAACUCUAGAGAAAUUCUGUCUCACUUAAUCCACCAGCAACCUGGGACUUAGAUCACAGUAUCCCUUCACAUAGAAUGUCAUAGACCCAGAAGAGUCCUGCGUCUGGACCAAAGGAGGAGCCAUUGGAUUGACAGGUUUCAGAGUAAACUAGACUCCAAAUGGAGUGCCCUUCUCAGGAUUUCAUGUAGCUUUAAAACCUGCGAUAUAAGCAUGAUCAAGUUCAUUCUAUCACGUCCAUCUCCUCAUGAAUAAGCUAUGAGACUAAAUCAGCUGGUCCUGACCACCUUAUAAGGUUGAUAAAACAUUCCAGGAAAGAGCUGUAAAAUACACAGCAAGACGAGUUACAGAUAUUUUCAGCUGUGACCUGAUAUGACCCACGCAGUGUGCCAGCAAAAGGAUCUAGAUUCUUCUUCAUCAUAAACUGGAAGUCAGAUGGCCUGAUCUUUGUCCUUACUUCCUGGGUGAGUCUCAGGAAAGUCACUUCCCUCACUAUUGGACUCUCCCAAGAGUGGCAACCAGUGGUACCCACGCUGGGAACUCACUACUUCUCUUUUGUUAAAAAAAAAAGAAAAAGUCAAGCACACUGCCUGAGUGAAUCCUAGUUAGCUGUAUAGGAGCAGACAAGCUGCUUCACUC